rnacentral:misc_RNA from 1 species
AUCGACGAUCAUGACUAUGAUACGAAGAUGAAGAAGGUCUUCGCCUUCAUCGAAGAGGGCGACAAGGUGAAGGUCACCCUGCGCUUCCGCGGCCGUGAGCUGGCGCAUGGCGAGCUUGGCAUGCGCCUCCUCCAGCGCGUGCAGGCCGAUGUCAUCGAGCAGGCGAAGGUCGAGCAGCACCCGCGCAUGGAAGGCCGCCAGAUGCUGAUGGUGCUGGCGCCCAAGUAACGCCGCGCGCCAAUUGCUGAAGAUCAGGGAAAUGGGGCUGGCGAUCGCCGGCCCUUUUUCUUUGGCGACACCCGGCCUUUCAUAAGCAUA